GAAAACAAGUAAGGACCCCUCACCCUAUUUCCUAUCACGGUAUUAAAGUUCAAAAUGAUAAAACGGUAUUUCUUGAAUUAACGCAUGUGUGAAAUUGCUUAAGGUUGCUAAUGGAGCCCGAGUCUAGUGUGAUUAAUGAUUUACUGUUAUUUGGCAUGUUUUACACUGUUUUACAGCUUUAAAUGCAUUAUGGGGUUUGAUGUGUUCAUUUUAUAGUUUCGAAUGCAUAUAUUACUGUUUUAUUAAUUAUGG
rnacentral:lncRNA from 1 species